GUCCACGCCCUAAACGAUGUCAACUGGCUGUUGGGAGCGCAAGUUCUCAGUAGCGAAGUUAACGCGUGAAGUUGACCGCCUUGGGAGUACGGCCGCAAGGUUGAAACUCAAAGGAAUUGACGGGGGCCCCGCACAAGCGGUGGAUGAUGUGGAUUAAUUCGAUGCAACGCGAAGAACAUUACCUACCCUUGACAUGCCAGGAAGUUUCCAGAGAUGGGAUCGUGCCCGAAAGGGAACCUGGACACAGGUGCUGCAUGGCUGUCGU
rnacentral:rRNA from 1 species